CAAACUUGAGAGUUUGAUCCUGGCUCAGAACGAACGCUGGCGGCAUGCCUAACACAUGCAAGUCGAACGAAGUCCUUCGGGGCUUAGUGGCGCACGGGUGCGUAACGCGUGGGAAUCUGCCCUUGGGUUCGGAAUAACAGUUAGAAAUGACUGCUAAUACCGGAUGAUGUCUUCGGACCAAAGAUUUAUCGCCCAAGGAUGAGCCCGCGUAGGAUUAGGUAGUUGGUGGGGUAAAGGCCUACCAAGCCGACGAUCCUUAGCUGGUCUGAGAGGAUGAUCAGCCACACUGGGACUGAGACACGGCCCAGACUCCUACGGGAGGCAGCAGUGGGGAAUAUUGGACAAU
rnacentral:rRNA from 1 species